rnacentral:rRNA from 1 species
CAGGCGUCGAGCGGCGGACGGGUGAGUAACGCGUAGGAAUCUGCCCAAUAGAGGGGGAUAGCCCGGGGAAACCCGGAUUAAUACCGCAUACGCCCUACGGGGGAAAGCAGGGGAUCUUCGGACCUUGCGCUAUUGGAUGAGCCUGCGUUGGAUUAGCUUGUUGGUGGGGUAAAGGCCUACCAAGGCGACGAUCCAUAGCUGGUCUGAGAGGAUGAUCAGCCACACUGGAACUGAGACACGGUCCAGACUCC